CAGCAGCCGCGGUAAUACGGAGGAUCCAAGCGUUAUCCGGAUUUAUUGGGUUUAAAGGGUGCGUAGGCGGACCCUUAAGUCAGUGGUGAAAGUUUGCAGCUCAACUGUAAAAUUGCCAUUGAAACUGAGGGUCUUGAGUGUAAAUGAGGUAGGCGGAAUGUGUUGUGUAGCGGUGAAAUGCUUAGAUAUAGCACAGAACACCAAUUGCGAAGGCAGCUCACUGGGAUACAACUGACGCUGAGGCACGAAAGCGUGGGGAUCAAACAGGAUUAGAUACCCUGGUAGUCCACGCAGUAAACGAUGAAUACUAACUGUAUGCGAUAUACUGUAUGUGGUACAGCGAAAGUGAUAAGUAUCCCACCUGGGGAGUACGUUCGCAAGAAUGAAACUCAAAGGAAUUGACGG
rnacentral:rRNA from 1 species